rnacentral:rRNA from 1 species
GACGAGCGGCGGACGGGUGAGUAAUGUCUGGGAAACUGCCUGAUGGAGGGGGAUAACUACUGGAAACGGUAGCUAAUACCGCAUAAUGUCUACGGACCAAAGUGGGGGACCUUCGGGCCUCACGCCAUCAGAUGUGCCCAGAUGGGAUUAGCUAGUAGGUGGGGUAAUGGCUCACCUAGGCGACGAUCCCUAGCUGGUCUGAGAGGAUGACCAGCCACACUGGAACUGAGACACGGUCCAGACUCCUACGGGAGGCAGCAGUGGGGAAUAUUGCACAAUGGGCGCAAGCCUGAUGCANCCAUGCCGCGUGUGUGAAGAAGGCCUUAGGGUUGUAAAGCACUUUCAGCGAGGAGGAAGGGUUCAGUGUUAAUAGCACUGUGCAUUGACGUUACUCGCAGAAGAAGCACCGGCUAACUCCGUGCCAGCAGCCGCGGU